AAUUCCAAUAAAAUCAAAUUUCCCUGCCAAAACAAAAAAAAUCAAAACCUCUUCCUCUCUCGAAUCUCGAUGGAGAAAGGAUUGAUAUUAGUUGACCGAUUUACCGAGUCAAGCCAGGCAUACUUCCUGACUCAUUUACACACGGACUACACUCAAGGCUUGACCUAAAAAUGGGGAAAAGGUCCUCUAUUUUGCUCCAAACUAACCGCUAAGCUCUUACCUUUCAAGUUCCCUGAUUUCAACCUCUCUCUACUUCGCGUUGUUGAUCUUCACAUCUGGCAUUCUUUCUCUCUCAUUUCUCCGACCACCGGAUCUCAAAUCACCGCUCAUGUCAUGGCUCUCAACGCCCACCAUUGCCCUGGAAUCGAUUUUGGAAAAAGAAAUCAUUACCUUCGGGAAAUCACUUUUUGGAUGGUUGGCUAUAGAGAUUUGAUGGGAUUGAACUGUAACUGGAGUUUGGAUGCUUGAUGUAUAAGGGGGAUUUUCGAUGGGAAGUUGAUAGCGAUAGGGCAAAGGAUGCGAGGAGUAGGCUACCUAAUGUUCUCAAGAAUGAGACGAUUGAUGUUGUUUACUUGGAUAAUACGUAUUGUAAUCCGUCUUAUGAUUUUCCCACUCGAGAAGUUGCUACUCAGCAGGUAGGAUUUACAUAUUUCUUGUUCACAUAACAAUUCUUUCUUUGAGUGUUUUUUGGUAGGUGUUGACGAUUAAUGUGCAUUGUAGAGAAUGUAUACCGGUUAAUAGGGAUGAAGCAUGGAUAAAGAGCUAAAUAUUAUUGGUGUUGAAAAUGAGAAAAUAUAAUGAGCAAUUGAUUGGUAUUUGUGUCUUAGGAAUGGUCAUGAAAGUAAGUUGAUUUAUUUUGUGUUUAUAGGCUUGGCAGAGAUUACAGUGCUUCAAAAUAGGAAACAAAUCAGUUAUACAACUUUUCUUACUUGUUUAAUUACUUGGUAAUGACAGGUUAUUGAUAUCAUUACUUCUCAUCUGGAGCAUGACAUCGUUAUUGGGAUUUAUACUUUGGGGAAAGAAGAGCUUCUAAUUCACAUUUCACGUGUGCUUAACAUAAAGAUUUAGGUGUGGCCAGAGCGUUUACAAACCAUGCAUCUUCUUGGAUUGAAACUUUAGAGUUUCAGCAUUAAAACUUCUCUAACAAGAGUCCGAACAGUUCCUCGUUACAGUUUCAGCAUUGAAACUUUAGAGGGAUUAAACACAAUGCGGCCAACAAUAGGAAUCAUGCCAUCUGGUUUUCCAUGGGUGCUGAAACCUGUUAAAGGAGAUGGCAAUCUUUUCGACUCUCUCUUAACUUCUCGUUACAAAAAAAGACAGCCAUCUAAUAAGCUGGACGGUAAUUUAGGAUAUGCUGAAAGGUAUCACCAUUACAUGUUUUCAGUUCCUUACUCUGAUCACUCAUGCUUUGCAGAGAUACAAUAGUUUAUUAAACUUGUCGAGCCAAUUAACAUGAAAGGUAUUGCGUCUUCAUCAUCUUGUUAUGUUGACCCACUUUAUUACUUCAGUCACCUUUGUGGUGUAAACCAACCACUAAAAAGGUUUGUCUACAAGAAUGAAAGGAAAGAGGGAGGUAAAAAAAGAAGUUGCGGUAUCUUAUUUUGAAAGUGGUAAUUCUCCCGAGGCAGGAAGGAAAAAAGCAGGCCAGUAGGAGUGGAUUAUAAAAGAGUUAAUGUAAGCAGAGCGAGUGCAUCAAGAAGAGUGCGCCGUGGAGCCAAAAUUAUGGAAAGUGACUGUUCAGAUUAAAAGUGUUAACUUUUGUAAUUAGGUGAGCCAAAAAAAAUACUUGUAGAAAUACUUGCAAUCAUGAUUGGGUGAGCCAAAAAAGUACUUGUACAAAUACUUGCAAUCGAGCAUAUAUCUGUAGAAUUUUGGUAUGGGUAUCACAUGGUACCAAGAGUUGCUGGAAAUGAUAAUUUGCCCUAUUUUCAGUAUCUCGAGUUUUACUGUGCUGUAGUUGAUGAACGUCAUCAUGAAUUAUCAAAUACGAGGAGUCCUUAUCUGAAUCUUAUUUAAAAUGAAAAUCACAAUCUAGUUUUUCAAGCAGCACAUACCACAAUAUCUGUGCUCAUUGCAAUUCUUGUUUCUAAUGGAUUUUUCCAAUUAUCUUGAUGGAACGUGUGGUUGAUGUACUUAAGAAACCGAACAAGUGGGAUACAUUGAUCCAAAUUCUUCAGGUAUUUUGUUAAUGCAAAACUUAUGGGAUUUUGUCUGCUUGUGCAACCCUUAUAGAUAUUUAAACUCUCUCAAUUAACAUCAUUAAGACACACUAACUGUGAGACUUUCAGUGCAUGCAUUCACCUAGCUUUAUAAGUGCUUUGCCUCAUCUCAUUCUGCAUGUCGAACUUUACAUUAUAAGUUAAAAAUGUUCAUUAGUAGUGUCAUGUAUUGAAGAUCAAGAAAUGGGUUGUAGCUUUGUUGGGUCCCUGUUAAGGUGACUUUGGUUUGACUGCAAAGUCACUUCUUCUUACGGUCGACAGUGGGCUAGAACUCAACAACGGUCCACCUUUGAAAUGAUGCCAAGAAAAAUGGCCUCCUAAGUUUGAAUUGGUGGUGAUUGUUGUAACCUAUUUUUGGGUCCCCGCACAAGAAAGGAGAAAAUACAAAAAAAAUAAAAAAAAUAAAAAAAUAAUAUAAAAGAAUAAAAAAAGGAGAAAAGAAAAAAAUCAAUAAAAAAUAUAUCAAAAAAUAAUAGCAGUGAAAAGAGGAUGUCAGAGCGCCCAGAAAAUGGUCAAAAAUUGGUUGAGAAGGUUCAAAAAUACAAAAAUAGAAAUUUAACAGUUUAUCAUUGACUGGUGAGAGCCCUGUUGAUGAAGAAAAUUUGAUUUGAGGAGGAAAAGUCUAAAAUCAGAUGUUUAUAGACUCAAUUGAAUUUAUUGAAGGUUUAAUUAAAUUUAUUGAGGGUUUGAUUGUAAGAAAAACUGAUUCUGAAGUCAAUUUGGGUUUUAAUUAGAAGAAAUUAAAGUGCUGGGUCAAAAUUAUAAUUUUUUAGAGUUGAUUUGGUCAAAUCAGGGGCUUAAUUGCAUAAAUAUAGAAGUUUGAUGGCCAAUUAGAGACUUGAUUGAAGAAAUCCAAAACCAAGGACUAAACUGAAAAGCACGCAAAUUGAAGGACUGACUUGAAAUCUAACACACUUUGGCGCCAGUUUCCACUUAAAUGAAACGGCGUGUUUUGGGGAAAACGACGCCGUUUCAUGCAUUUAAAAAAAAAAAAUAAACAAAACAGUGUCAUUUUUGGACAUGCAACAGGGGAAAAGAAGUUUUUGUUUUCUUCCUCUUGUUUCUUCCUCCCACGUGUUUUGUUAGAGCAAAAACCAAAUGCCACCCGUCUCAUGAUGAGAAGACAGAGAAGUCGUGCCCCGUAAGCGAUGCCUCCAUUGGCCACCUUUACUAGCGUUGUAACAAAGCAAAAGGCAUGUGCGCCCCAUGCAUGGGCAGCGAUGGGACAGGGCAGGGUCGACCCCGCUCCCCCCUGCCUCUAUAAAUACUGUCCUGAAAGGGAGAAACAGGGGAAAGAGGGAAAAAAGGGGAGAUAUUGGGAGAGAGUGACCGACAGUUUUUUGAAAGAGAAAAGAGAAGGAGAUCGAGAGAGAGACAGAAGGAUUUUUCAAGAGAGAAAACGAGGAGGAGGAGCGAAAAAAAAAGAGAGGGAAUGAACGUGAGACAAAAAGGAAGAAAACCAAACAGAAUAGAAGAGGGAAGCAUAACAAACAAAAAGGGGAGAAGAAUAUUGAAAGAGAAGGGAGAGGGGACAGAACAAAGAAGACAACAGAGAGGAAGGAGGGAAGAUUAGAAACAGGGGGAGAAGGAUUUUUGUUGUAAAAAACAAACAGACAAGCAGACGGAGGAGGAGAGUUUUCGGAGUAAAACAAAAAGGAAAUUUUGAGAAGAAAACCAGUGAGACAGGAGGAGAAACAGAGGGGGAGGACAGAAGAGGAGUAAGAAGAGGAGAGACAAAGGAGAGAAAGAGAAGAUAACGGGGAGGAAAAAAAAGGGCCUUUGUAUAGGGAAGAAGAAAAAACCGCAGUAGCACUGCAACACCACUGAGAAUGGUCACCAGCAUCACCAUCAGCUUAGCUACCCGAGAUCAUCACCUCAGGUAAUUCUCUUCCCCCUUAUAGUCACCGGUCAUUGUUCAUCUUCUUGCUUGCAGAACGUGCACUGUGCAUGUUCUACAUACAAGAAGAAUAAUUAGCUGGUUACUGUGCAUGCGCACAGUAACCGGCUAAUUAAUUAACGAGUUACUGUGCUCAUGCACAGUAACCAGUCCGUGGUUGCUGGGCUAAGUCCAGCCCUAUUGCUAUGGGCUGGAACAUCAGCCCAGCCUACGCGGCUGGGCUGAGUCCAGCCCUAUAGAAAGGAGGCCUGAUUUCACUUUUGGGCUGAUUUCUGCCUAGUCUCCUUUUAGGCUCGCCCGACCCAAAAGAAAUUUUUUAAAAUCAUUUUGGGAAAUUCAGGAUUUUCCCGCGUUUUUUUCUACAUCAUUUUGAUUAAUAUUGGUCUGUUUUUUUACAUCGUAAAGAUACAAAUUCAGUAUUAAAAUACCCGAUUUUCAAAAAAAUAUUUUUGUAUUCAUGCAUACGGCCAAGUCUUUCAAAGCUAAAAAAAAUCAUAUUUUAUUUUUAUACAACAAAGAAAACUUCCAAAAAUUAUAUAUUAUAUUUUAGCAUGCAUUUUGGCUUUAAUAACCAAAUUAUUAAAGUCAUGAGAACUUGACCAAUAUUUCAAAAAAACCAAAAAAAUAUAUUGUUUUUGUUUUAAUAUCUGGGAUUACGAAUUUAUACGUAAAGCGUAUUCCAGAUAUUAAAAAGAUAUUUUUUUAUAGACAUUAGAAUGGUUAGGUUUUACCCUAUAAGAUAAGAACCUCUUUACUGAGGAGGGCUUUUCUUGAACCAUAGAUGGACCAACAUGACAAGACCUUAGUUUUUUAUAAGACAAUAAAACAAUGCAGCUUACCUUAGGUAGGGUGUAUUUGGGGUACUAAUACUUCUCUUUACGUAACCAGUCUCCGUACCCGAUCUCUGAGACCAGUUAGGGUUCCUAGUGACCAAAAUACUAGGUGGCGACUCCCAUUCCAUUUUUUUUCACUGAUAAAAGACAAGAAUUCCUUGUAUUUUCAUAUUUGCCAAGAUAGACACUCAACACCUGAUGGGGGUGGUAGGCGAUCACUACGACGCCAUACAUGUGCGACAGUGAUUUUGUGUCUUGUUGCAAAAACCUGUGAGAAAUUCAUGGAAUUCUACGUAAUUUUCUUAGAAAAACUCAAAACUUCUGCUACCUUUUUGGUCAUGUUGAGCUGAUGGCAUCUUAGUUGUUUUCUGUCAAUACUGGCUCCAGCUAUUUGAAUAUGGCUGCUGUGCAUGCUAGUGCACUUACUCAUGUGUGAUCCUCUGUUGUUUGCACUUGUUCAUGUUGCUGAUUCCCUAGCUAGUUUCUUUGCUCAACUUUUGUCCUCUCAGUUGUUGUUUUGGCACAAAAAAACCUUAGAUGCUAAAGGAUGCAAAUGCAACCACAUACCCAGGACCACCGUUUUUUCUCUUACAUGUCCAUGGUAAUCCAUGUAGCCAUGAUACUCUGCCAUAGAUGGUGUGACAUAGUUGAUCUUUACACCAUGUAAUGGUAAAAAAUUCCAGAAAAAUCUUAUAUUAGGAAAUAUAAGAAAACUGCACGACUAACCAGGACUUUACCUUCACAAUGACCUAAAUAAGGGUUUCCUGCAAAGCCUGCCAUACUAAAACAUUGAAGUAUACUCACGUGGAGUGUUUAUUGAGCACUAUUAUAUAUUAUUCAUCAGAAUCAAAGCGACUGCCUUGUUUGAGACGUGCCGAUGCUACUGAUUAGUCUAAGUUUCUAGAAUCAAGUCAUACUUUUCUUUCUUGUUUGUUGUAUGUGUCUGAGACAUCAAGACUACAAACUGUGGUUAAACAGCUUGCAUAAUGUUCACGUGGAUAAAUAUUUCACACCUAUUUUCUGCAAGAGAAAUGCCAUCAAUGAAGCAGAGGACUAUGACAACAAAUUAUGUAACUAACAAAGUUCAGAAUAGACUAAAGGAGGAGGUAAGCGUUUAGGUUUUUAAGAAUCACUUUUCCAUACUCCCCUCUUCCUAGCAUUUACUUUUGAGCAUGUGCUGGUGCGUGCAUACACUUUCCAAGCAUGCAUAUAAUAAUAAGUAGAGUUAGGAUAUCCAGGUGAUGAAUAAUUUCUGAAGUGAAUUUAGAAUCUUCUAUUGUCUGUAUUUCUUUCAUGUCAUGUUCAAGCAUUUUGUAUCUGUUGUUCAAAAGAAAACAACCAUCAUGGAUAUCAGGUUUGGUGUUUCAGUAUAAUUUUUGCAUCUGUGGAUAAACAUUUUAGAUCCGUUUUCUGCAAGCAUAAUGCUAUGCAUCUAGAGGAAAGAAGAAAAAGAAGGAGAUAUCAGAUCAUAAGUGGCUUGUUUCACAAUGUUAGUUAUACCACUUUUAUAAGUGGCUUGUUUCAGGCAGGGAGAGUUUUGGAAGCAAUAGAGCUUUUCAAGGAUAUACGUGCCCAAAGCCAUUUCCCAGAUUUAAUGCAUGACCUACCCACUUUGUUUGACGGCUUAAGAAAACAAAGAUUUUGGAAGCUUAAAUAUGCAUUGGAGUUGUUUUCGAAACUCAGUCAAAGGGCUGCAGUUUGAUGCUCGGGUUUGGACUUUAGUAAUCAAUGGACUUUGCAGAGAGGGAUUGCUAGAUGAAGCUUACAAAGCUUUCAGACUAAUGGAAAAGGAUGGCCGCCCACCAGAUAAUUGUUCUUAUAAUGUUUUUAUCUGAGGAUUUCUCCAGCAUAAGGAUCCAAGGGCAGUGCAACUUAUAACCAGUGAGAUGAAAAGCCAAGGAUUCUUAGCAGAUGUGCAAACAACAAAGUUGGUGGUAGAUGAUGAUCAAGCCACCUGUUGUUACUAAUUUUUGGGUUCCCACACAAAAAUAAGAAAAUACAAAUAUAUAUAUUCAGAAGAAAUCCAAAAAAAUAAUUGGAGUGAGAAAAA